rnacentral:rRNA from 1 species
AUGCAAGUCGAACGAUGAAGUCCUUCGGGAAUGGAUUAGCGGCGAACGGGUGAGGAACACGUGAGAAACCUGCCUUUCAUUCUGGGAUAACACCGGGAAACCGGUGCUAAUACCGGAUACUCCAUCUUGGCGGCAUCGCCGAGCAGGGAAAAAUUUUGAUGAAAGAUGGUCUCGCGGCCUAUCAGCUAGUUGGUGAGGUAAAGGCUCACCAAGGCGACGACGGGUAGCCGGCCUGAGAGGGCGACCGGCCACACUGGGACUGAGACACGGCCCAGACUCC